rnacentral:rRNA from 1 species
UACAGAGGGGCGAGCGUUGUUCGGAAUUACUGGGCGUAAAGGGCGCGUAGGCGGCCCGCUAAGUCGAACGUGAAAUCCCCAGGCUCAACCUGGGAACUGCGUCCGGAUACUGGCAGGCUUGAAUCCGGUAGGGGAGUGUGGAAUUCCCGGUGUAGCGGUGAAAUGCGCAGAGAUCGGGAGGAACACCCGUAGCGAAGGCGACUACCUGGCCUGUUCUUGACGCUGAGGCGCGAAAGCUAGGGGAGCAAACGGGG